GUGAGGGCACUGUGCUGACCC
rnacentral:misc_RNA from 1 species